rnacentral:rRNA from 1 species
AGAGUUUGAUCAUGGCUCAGAUCGAACGCUGGCGGCGUGGCUAAAACAUGCAAGUCGUACGGAAAGGUCGUUUCUGAUCCUUCGGGUGACGAAGCGAUACUCGAGUGGCGAAAGGGCGAGGAAUACAUGGGCAACGUGCCUUCUGCACGAGGAUAACUGCGGGAAGCUGCAGUUAAUACUCGAUAAGACCACAGCACCUUCGGGUGCAGGGGUCAAAGGUGGGGACCUUCGGGCCUACCGGCAUUAGAGCGACCCAUGUCCUAUCAGCUUGUUGGUGAGGUAACGGCUCACCAAGGCGACGACGGGUACCGGGACUGAGAGGUUGACCCGGCGCAUCGGGACUGAGACACUGCCCGGACUCCUACGGGAGGCUGCAGUAACGAAUAUUCCGCAAUGGGCGAAAGCCUGACGGAGCGACGCCGCGUGUGGGAGGAAGCCCUUCGGGGUGUAAACCACUGUCANGGGAUUACCAAGCAAAGUUGGCGAAUAGCCUUCUGCGUUGAGGCGUCCCAGAGGAAGCCACGGCUAACUUCGUGCCAGCAGCCGCGGUAAUACGAAGGUGGCGAGCGUUGUUCGGAAUCACUGGGCUUAAAGGGCACGCAGGCGGACUGUCAAGCGUCUUGUGAAAGCCCCCGGCUUAACCGGGGAAUUGCUGGGCGAACUGGCAGUCUUGAGGCAGGUAAGGGCGAGCGGAACUCUUGGUGGAGCGGUGGAAUGCGUAGAUAUCANNNNNNNNNNNNNNNNNNNNNNNNNNNNNNNNNNNNNNNNNNNNNNNNNNNNNNNNNNNNNNNNNNNNNNNNNNCGGGAUUAGAUACCCGGGUAAUCCUUGCCAUAAACGAUGUCCACUUAGAUCGGUGAACUUCUGACAGUGCGCCGGACGAAACAAAAGCGUUAAGUNGACCGCCUGGGGAGUACGGUCGCAAGGCUAAAACUCAAAGGAAUUGACGGGGGCUCACACAAGCGGUGGAGCAUGUUGCUUAAUUCGAUGCAACGCGAAGAACCUUAUCCUGGACUUGACAUGUUAGGAUGCCUCCCUGGAAACAGGUUGGUUGCCCUUCGGGGUGAAACUUUCACAGGUGCUGCAUGGCUGUCGUCAGCUCGUGUCGUGAGAUGUUGGGUUAAGUCCCGUAACGAGCGAAACCCUUGUCGUUAGUUGCCAGCGCGUAAUGGCGGGGACUCUAGCGAGACUGCCGGUGUUAAACCGGAGGAAGGUGGGGAUGACGUCAAGUCCUCAUGGCCUUUAUGUCCAGGGCUGCAAACGUGCUACAAUGGCGUGUACAAACCGACGCAAGACCGCGAGGUGGAGCAAAUCGGAAAAAGCACGCCCCAGUUCGGAUUGGAGUCUGCAACUCGACUCCAUGAAGUCGGAAUCGCUAGUAAUGACGUAUCAGCUCGACGCGGUGAAUGUGUUCCUGAGCCUUGUACACACCGCCCGUCAAGUCAUGGAAGCUGGGAGCGCCCGAAGUCGGCAUGAAUCAGUGCUGCCUAAGGUGAGCUCGGUAACUGGGACUAAGUCGUAACAAG